CGGACGGCUGUCAAAGCAAGAACGUGACCAGAGCAGAGUGAAGUCAAAGCGCUAUGAGGGGAGAGCUAAGACAUUGUCACAUGAACUUUGUUGCCUUCUCCUCUAAGGAGAAGCUGUGGAAAUACACCCGGAUCGAAACGCCCCUGGCUCGCGUGACCCUACCCCGGGAGAAGCAGCCGAGUUACCCGACAUCGUGGUCAGCAGAGGCUGGGUCGGUGCCUGGGUGCUGCAGCUGCAGGAACUCGGUGCCUAGGAGGGCUCCUGUGCAAGGAGAGAAGCAGAGAUGCCACAUUUUUAAAGUUUCACAAAGCAUCCAGCUGCACCCAGGUUCCUGGAGCAGGAGACAAACAGAAUUAAUGUUUUAUACCUUCGGGUAUAGGUUUGAGUUUUUUCCCCCUCAUGCCAAGUAUUUAAAACCUCUAGAAACCCAUGAUUUGACAAUCAAUGAUUGCGCGAUACUUUCAAUUUGAAUAUUCAAAGGCUUAACAAAAUGGACUAUCUUCUGCAGAAAUCCUGCACACAGGCACCCCACAGACAGUCCAGAGAAACAGGGAGUGAGACCCCUGUGGGUCCCGGGCCUUGCUUUUAUUGUAUUUUAAGCAUUUUGCCCACCUUUCCACAGACAGAGCAGGAGUCCUCAAAGAUGCUCUGUAUUUCUGCCUCAAAGGCAGCUCCAGGAGCCCUGAGUGACUUAGGCUGACCUUCAUGACCCCCUGAGCCAGGCCGGCUGGCCAGACCGAUUCCCACGUCCCUAGUCUCCAUUUUAAGGGAAAAUCUCAGGUUUUGGGGAGCGAACACGGCGGGCAGUAGGUUCAGCUUGGGAAGGAGCCUCGCAGGCCCCAGGUUGCAGGCCGGAGGCCUGGCAGAACGCUCAGCUGUCUGCGCGGCAUCUCCUCCUGGCCACUUGCUGCCGGCCCUGCCUUGGGUCCUGCUCUCUGUGUGCGCCCCAGACCCUGGGGUUUCCAGACAGAAUGCCAACCCAUUUGCUUCUCCACAAGGAGCUGGGGAUGCCUGUGCGGCCUCACUCUGAGUUUUUUUCUGAGGCUGGCGUUUCUUCCUGAUGAAGGUCCCUCUUCUCUCGUCUUUCUCUGUCUUGAGCCACCCCUGCCCUGUUUGCUGCAGGAGUUUGUAUUGAGAGACGAUGUGGACAAGCUUGGGUCCCGCUCAUUUGAGCUGAGGGGACGUGGAUUUGUGUUCAGGCAUUCACACUUUGGGUGAGAGGCGGGAGAGGCUUGCGCUCGGGAUGCGGGGCCCGUAGGUCCAGGCCUAGGCCCCUCAAAAAUGACGGAACUGUGCUGGGUUAUGUUCUCCGAGCGCUUGCUGUGACUCUUCCGUGUGAUGUGGAAACUUGAGAAGACGGGAGUGGUCCAGAGAGGGAGUGAGGGCCAGGCCAGACCCUCUUCGAGCUCCUGAGGGAAGGGGGCAGCACCAGAUGACAGAGAAGCAGGAUGGGGUUCCUUUUGCAAAUGAGCCAAGACAUUCCCAUGAGGCCGGGCCAGGCGAUGGCGACGGGCCUCUGUUCCCUGA